rnacentral:rRNA from 1 species
AUGAAGCAAAUUAGGCACUACAUAAUAACAAAGUGCGAGGAAUCCAACUCAUGGACCGAUGAGCAUCUGGAUGAGCUUACAAGGGCUGGUGCUCACGGUGUCCAGAAAUGGCACAGAGAUGAGUUUGUAGAUUGGUUCGAGAGGCGUAUCCAGGCACUUCACAAAGAAGGGAAAGUCAGUGAUCUUUUGUAUGCCCUAUCUAGAGGACCUGACCCUCGAGCUCGUGUUUAUAACCGCACCUUCAUCAAUGGGUUUUUCUUUAGAAAUGAUAGUGUAGAAAGAGAUUUGAAUACCCAAAACAGCGGUGUUGUUGUUAGAAGUGAAGAAAAGUGA